rnacentral:rRNA from 1 species
GUCUACAGUCAUGCUACCCUGAACAAGCCCGAUCCCGUCUAAUCUCGGAAGCUAAGCAGGGUCGGGUCUGGUUAGUACUUGGAUGGGAGACCACCUAAAAAGACCAGGUGCUGUAGGCG